rnacentral:tRNA from 1 species
AUUUUUAUAGCUUAAAAAGAGCAUAGUAUUGAAGAUACUAAGGUAAUAAUUUAUUAUUUAAGAAUA